CAGGAAAUCAACUGUCUGUAUCAGCAAGAUGGAUUAGUUCAGCAGGCUGAGAGGACAAUACCCUGCAUUUAAAAAAAAAAUGUAUUUUUCAGAGUUAAUUUUGCACUUGAACACCAUGUAGUGAAUCAACUCAUCCUGCAGCCACUUGCUUAUCCAGGCCAACAAAAAGAAGGAAAAGGAAACCGAAGACUUUUCUUCAGCUUUUUGGACUCUUUUGGCAUAGCUGUAGCACUAGCAUUGGCCUAAAGGCAUUGGAACAGAGGGAGAGAGUCUUGUAACACCUAGGUAAUCAUGAAGGGGAAAAUAAUGAGAAGACAUUUAAGAAGCACAACAGGAGAGUGUUCAGGCCACGGUAGAAGAAAGGAGCAAGAGCACUACAGUUUCCCCUCUGGCUGCCAGCAAACCACCUUAGGAUUCAUUCUGAAUGUUUCAGUUUGACCCCGAACAGAACUCCUUGACCUGGAAUCUGCAGCUGGUGGAGAACCUGCCUCUCAUUUGUACUUCUGGAGACCAAUGAGCUGUUCACUUCUGCUGUGCUGCAAGGCUUAUUCACUUUAUGGUCAAUUCUCAAAUGUCUGUGAGAAGAUUAUCUGGGUUAUGUAUUAUAUGUGUCAUGCUUAAAAAAAUCCUUUUCUGACCUCAUUCCAUGCUUAUAGUCUCGUUCUUAAAAGGUAAAUAAACUAAACAGAAUGUGCUAGCA
rnacentral:lncRNA from 1 species